AGGAUUAGUAUUUCAUUCUGUAGUCAAUGGAUACUCACUGGAAAGUGUUUGAGGAAGUGAGGGGUGUGAGCUUUGUUUUAAGAUAAGAUGUUUAUGUCUGUGUCAUAACAAGCAGAAGGGAUUGGAGGAAACAGGCUGAAGACAGAUGCUGCAGUGGGAGUGUGGAGAGAUGUGAAGGCAACAGCAGGAAUAAUGAUAAGAUUGGUUGUGAGGUACUGUAUAGAUGAGAUGGAUAGGACCAGAGAUGCACCUGAGAGCAGGAGGAAAAGGAGAGGAAAAUGGUCAUGUGGGUGCCAGAUAGUACUGCAUAACCUCUCCUUUUGAAUUUGAGGUACCUGCGUCUGCCAAGAGUAGCUUUUCCAUUUCACAACCAUCACACUUUCCUGUGAGUUCAGAGUUAAUGAAGACAUGUGGAUGCAAAAGGAAAACUUGCAGAGCAAAGUCAUUGCCAAACAGGUUGUGUAGCCUGACCUGUGAAACAUUGUGAAGAAGGAAGAUCGCAGUUUCAGGGAAGAUGACUCGAUAACACCACAGAACAGGUGCCAGGAACUCUGCUAGAUGCUGGAGAUCGACAAAUGAAUAGGAGUUUGAUGACUGAAGCUCAAAUCUCAUCUCUUUCACUUGCUAACUCAAGCACUGUCAGUCAAGAGCAAUGGUUCUAUCUCCACUUCCUCAUCUGUAAAAAUGGGCCUAAUAGUUCAUAUCUGAUAAGAGCAUUAUGACAAAUAAGUGAGAUAAUGGACAAAGGGGCUCUUUCCCCACUCACCUUUGAUCUCUGAGAACAAGGAGUGUUCCACGCCCAAUUCUGAGGACACAUAGAUACAGUCAGGCAGAAAAGGUCUUGAUGUUUCUGAGGCUCCAUUCACUUCUAUGUGACACAGAAGUGGAGACAAGAGCCAGUGGACCUGUAGGGGAGGCACCCUGGAGACAGGGGAGAUGACUCUGGAGUGGAGGCUAGUGAUAGACAGCCCAGCCCACGGGUCUGAUGGGAGAUAUGCCAGAGAUGCAGAAAGGUCUCCAUGGUCAUUAAGAGGGGAUGGGGGGCUCGGUCAGCAAGAAGAGCCACUGAUCCCUGGUCAAGCCAAAUUUUAAAUUUGCCAAAUAAGAGCGUUAAAGCACAAAACACGCCUAUCAAUAACUAUCAUUUCACAAAAUAAGGAGUUUCAAAAAAGUGAGACUGGUAUUACCUCAGAAUCAAGAAACAUGCUUUUAAUAAAUCAAAUCAGUUCCAACUAAUUUAGCUUUUUGAACAACCUGCCAUGGUGCACUUCUUUUGUGUCAUUUAGCCAUGCACCAGUUGAAACUUGGCAGCAUGGACCAGCGCAGGUCCCUGGGCCCACGCUCGGAAGCCACUGUUGUGUGCUGUGUUGUGAAUCCUAAAAUUGACGGAGCUUUAAAACAUCUUAAGUAGAGAAGUGACAUUGUCGAAUGUGUAAGUUAGACAGCUCUUUCUGGCCUCCAUAUUCAGGAGGGCUUGCAUUUAGGGGAGUGAGAGGCCACUUAAGAGGUUCUUUUAAUCAUCUAAGCCAAAGGCCUUAAGGCCCUGAGUUAAAGAAGACCAUUGGUUAUUUCUUUAAUGAGACAGUUAUUUUGACUUUUUUUCCUUUUCUAGUUGAAAUAAACCUUGCAUUUUCUUUUUAAAUCACCAAUAAAACACUGUGUAAGGUCAUUGUUUUCCAUAUUUUGGGUAAUUGCUAGAGGCACCAUGCUUAAGACAGGCAAGUGUUAGGCAAGUAUUUCUAUUUGAUCCUUUUUUGAAGACUCUUCUUUGGGCCUCUGGAAGAUAUUUUACGGAUUUCUUAUACUCAAUCUUUAAGAUUAGUGCUUCAACUUCCUCUUUAUUGGUUAGGUGUUUAGAACACAUUGACAUAUCUUAAAGGCAGUUUUGCUCUGGCUUGGAUGUGUCACUAUGUAUCAGGUUUGAUUAACAGUAUUGAAAAAUUAAUAGAUUAUUAUAGUUGAUCUUUUAAUUAACAUAUAGAAAUGCAUUUUAAAGACAUGUUUUCUAAACCAAUUUUUCCCUCCUCUAAACAAAAUGAGUUAAGAUUGAAGAAGUGACUUGAAGCAUGAAUUUGUUCUCCUUUAUGCAAAUGCAGGUUUUAGUGUUGAAAAUUGAAAUUGUCUUGAAAAAUUAGUUCAAAAUAACUUUUACCCAGGUAUCUCAGUUGCUGCCUUAUAAAUGAAGUGUAAAAAUCCACUUAUUCAGUUAUUGCCUCAUAAAUGAAGUAUAAAAACCACUUAAGUUUUACCAGUUACAAAAGAGUUUCUGGAAAACAUAGAGGAGAAAUGAAUUAUCACCAUCUCUUACCAUUAAUAACAGAAAUGUGAGGAGGAGCAUUAAAGCAAAUAUGAUUGUUUUGUGGGUUUUAAAAUUAUUCCCUUGGCAAUAAUUAGCGUGAUGGUGCUCUACAAUGAUUGAGAAAUUAAAAAUGCCUCCGCAUGUGCCUUUGAUUCUGUAGAAUGGAAGUGUCUACAUGUGGAGUAAUGUCUUUGACUAUAUAGAUUGAAUUUUCUUUCAGCAAAUAUUGUAGCAUAUUUACUAUAUGCUAGGCAGGAAAUAUUUGUGUGGAGAGAGAGAGGACUAGAGGUAAAUAACACAGGUUUUGUUUGGAAGGAACUCACUGUCUAGUGAUUGGGUCAAGCAUAAAAUACAACUAUCUAUAAUUAUAAGGCAGAACUAAAUGAAGACUGUAUUUAAUAAUCAUUGUGGACUAUGGGCUUCCUGAAGACAAGGGCUGUCUCUUUAUUUACAGGACUUCUAAAAGCCCCAUCACAGAGGGGAAGCCCCAUCACUGACAAUGAGUGUUAAUAAAUCCUAGACUACAAACUCCAUGACCAUAAGGGUCGGGUUUUAUGCAUAUCUGUACUCCCAGUAUGUAAUACAGACCGGGCACAUUGUAAGUGCUCAAUAAGACGUUGUGAAAUUAGUGAACUCUGAAUAAGUGAAUUAGUGAUUCAACACUGUGGAACAUAGGAGAACUCACAAUUCAACUAGACUGAGAUGAUGCAGGGUAAUGAGGGGAGUCCUGAACAAUUGUACGUCAUGUGAAGCACAGGCCUUGAAGAAGAACCUCAGUGUCAAUUCCAUGUUUGUUUGCAUACUCAAAAUAGACCUCUAAAAAUGCCUGGCGAUAGGUAAAUCAAACUGAUUCAUCUAGUAUUCAUCCCAGCUAGAUGAAAAUCCCAAGAAUUACUUUCUAAACCUAGCAACCUGAAGUUAGCUUUGUAAUUAAAUAAAGCUCCUCACAGUGGCCUCAACUCUCCUCUCCAAACAUCUUCCUUUAUUCAGCAGCCACUACUCACCACUCCGGCUAGGCUGGUUUCCCUGCCAUGGAGCUCGCCAUUCUUCGUCCUGUCACAAGCCAUUCACUGAUGAGCCAGGGGAAGCCGCAGAAGUUUCCAGAUCAGAGAAGUGCUGUGAUCUAAUUUGAGCUGUAACCACAAUAAAGAUAAGUUUUUAUAAUAGGAUAUUGGUUUAGGAGCUUUAACAAUGAGCAAAAUAAAAGUGCCUGAAACAAAAUAGCCUUUUUUGUUUGUUUGUUUUUUGAGAUGGAGUCUCACUCACCCAGGCUAGAGUGAAGUGCCAUCAUCUUGGCUCACUGCAACCUUCGCCCCCCAGGUCCAAGUGAUUCUCCCGCCUCAGCCUCUGAGUAGCUGGGAUUACAGGCACCAGCCACCAUGCUCGGCUAAUUUUUGUAUUUUUAGUAGAGAUGGAUUUUCGCCAUGUUGGCCAGGCUGGUCUCGAAUGCCUGACCUCAGGUGAUCCACCCACCUCGGCCUCCCAAAGUGCUCGGAUUACAGGCAUGAGCCGCCUUGCCCAGUCAGCUUUAUUUAUUUAUUUAUUUAUUUAUUUAUUUGAGAUGGAGUGUCGCUCUGUUGCCCAGGAUGGAGAGCAGAGGCGUGAUCUCGACUCACUGCAAC
rnacentral:lncRNA from 1 species